AAAAAAGUGCCUUAAAAAACUA
rnacentral:rRNA from 1 species